CACAACACCAGAUAAAUUGUUUGAUUGGAAGUUGAGAAUUUGAAGAUUCUUGAGGCUAGAUAGAGUGCUUGGAAUGGAGCCUCGCAAUUUGUUUGAUGAAAGUUCUAACUCGAUCAGUUCGGAACAAUUGUUAGUUUGUGAUGGGAUUUGACCUGAAAAUUGAUUAGAGCUCAAAGAUAAGACUUGAAUGCGUGCUCCGUAAAUUAAGGACGAUGGGAUUUGACCACUAAAAUGAUUAUGGUCUAAAAAUAAAACAACAAGCUUGGUUAGGUUCAUGAGCCAAGAAGGGAUUGGUCCAACAAGUUGAUUAUAGCUCAAAUCCAGAAAUGAAAGUUGAGUCAGGUUCUUGAGCGAAGAUGGAAAAUCACCAUUCAAUCCGACAUGAACGAGAGAAAGGGUUUUGAGGUUUGACAGUUUACCAAUCCAAGACAAGGAAUAUCUGGAUUUCUACUCUUGCAAUUUCACCGGACUGCUUCCUUCUUCACUCGGUAACCUUACCAAGCUUACCCGUCUCAAACU
rnacentral:misc_RNA from 1 species